ACUAUUCUUCAGAAAUCCCAUUUAAAAUGAAAUUCAGACAUUAAAUCCAUUUAAACAUAUAAUCAAGCACCAUGUGCACAUCAGGGUUCAGAUCCGAAACAUGAAUGUGAAAAUGCAACAAUCUAAGUACAAAACACAGCCCAUUCUCAUCUAAUGGUGUCCCACCAUCAAACACAAAAGAAGUCUCUUGCUCUAUGAGCUUGUUGUACAUGUCGUGAAAUUAAACUUCCACCCUCCCUUCCAUUCGGCAGGUAGAGAAUACAUUCCUUUAUCUUUAAAUGAAGAAUCAAUACAAUACAAUACAAUAUAACAGAUAACAACCAUCCAAACAAGAUGUUAAACUUGCCCCUAAAUUUCAUUUUGACACUUCAACUCAACUUUGUUCCAUUUAAACCCUUCAACUCUAAUUUUCAUGUCCCAUUUACACACUUAUGUUCAAGGAAUCAACAAAGUGAGAUGUGUGUACUUCACACGCCCUCACCAUAGUUUGACGUAUUCCAGAAGCCUAAAUUUUGGUGCAAUCCAAAGAAACUUGUACAAUGAGUUGUUUGUACUCACAAUAGCCUUUGAGGUCUUACGAAAAUAAAGCCUACCUUUGCUUCCAAUGCCUUUACUUCAUUUGGUGAUAUUCUAGAGGCGAAAUCAUUGAAGACAUUUCCAUAGGAAUAUAUUAUGCAUGCAGACACAUUAAAUAAAAGUGAGUACCGGUGCCAAUCAUGUAUUUUUUUUUCAUGUGACUCGCGUGAAAAAUAUAGAUUUCUGAAUUAUUCUAUUGAGAAAGAUGUUCACUGGCUAAUAUAAUUGUUAAAUGAGAACUUUCCAUGAAUAGGAUUGCAAUUAGAAAAACCACCGAUGCCAUGCAUUUGGUAUGGAGUCAAAAUUCUUGCGCAGAAAUUUGCUUUUAUGUUGUUUAGUCAGCUGAUAAAACUAUGUAAAUUCUUUCUGAUUUACAUUAAUGCUUAUCUAAUAAUUACCAUAACCACGCAUUCAUCUCAAUAAAAGGUGAUCCCUAAUCCAAGUUUAUGAGAAGAAAAAUGUAUGUCGGAGGAAAAUGUGGACUUAACAUGCCAAUGUAGCCAUUGAAUAUUCAUUGGACCACAUCUCCACAAUCCUCAUCUUAACUUCAUUAAUACAUAAUACCAUUUAAAGUCUCAAAUUACAGUCAGUUCACAUUACCUCUGAUAAAUCUUUUACAUAUGAUACAGAACGAAUAAAUAUCAAUUUUUUCAAACAGUAAAAAGCAGUGAGACAAUGGUCAUUAAUAUUCAAUAGAUGUGAAAUAAUCGAGUUGCAGACUUAGAUUUAAGCCUUCAUUAAGAAAUUAGUAUAAAGCGCAAGUUAUAGAAAGCAAAGCAACAACCAAAAAGAGGCAUAAAUAAGCUACUUACCAAGCAACCCAGAGCCACCAUGAUCACUAUAGAAUAUGCAAAUAUGAUCAUUUGGACCACCACUCCCAUCUUUCCGGUACCUAGUAAGAGCAGUUUUGUUACCAAGGAGAACAGCUAAAAAGUUGUCCACGUUAACAUCAUCUCUAGUGUAAUCUUGCCUCAAGAGAUAACACAUGAGAUGGGAGUACAGUUUAGGUAUACACUAAUAAUGAUGGCAAAAAACACAUACCUUAGCAAGUCCUUUGUAAACAUCCUCCAGCAGGACUAUUAAUGAUAGCUCCUGGUCUUGGGCCCUCUUCAUUGUAAGCAAUGUCAUCGUACAUGAAGACAAGAAUAUUUUCAUCUCUGAGACCACAUUUUAUCAACAACUGAAAUGCAAGGCAUACAUCAGUCUGAUACAAAAGUCUAGGUCGACAAGGUUUAUCAUUAAACAUAUGAGAAAAGAAAAAAUAAUAAAAACACUCCAUAAUAGUUAAUCUAUCAAAAAGAAGGAAAAUGUUGCCUUAGCAAAACUUUUUACAAACUGAUUUGUUUUUAACUGGCUGGUUGCCUUAAUGGAUGAGUUUCACAAGGUUGGAAAGCUACCACCAAGCUUACAUUUGGUAAAAUCGUAGUGCUUGACUUUUUAACGGUUUAGUACUCGAAGGAACAUAUCUUUAAAAAGGACAAAAAUAAAGUUAUAUAAGCUAACAUCAAUAAUCAAAUACAUGAACCAAUGAAAUAGUACAGUGAAAAAAAAUCAAUAAUGGCAUUACAUGAACAUUGGGAUGAUCGUAGGCCAAGUUCUUAGAAAAAUAUACUCCUGCUCUACAAAGAAUAGUUAUACAUUCAAAGCAAUAUUCAUGUAGUACAAAAAUAGAAGAGUGCCUUCAAGGUUUACGAGAAUUAUGAUACUCAACCAUAUUGCUUCAUUCUUUUAAAAUCAAAACUAAGUCAUACCAAUCCAUUAAUAGCUCAUAAAAUAAUUAAAAUUUGAUCAACCGAAUCACUUUUGUCCCAUUUCAGUUCAGCUUCAAGCUAAGUUCAAGGCCCGUGAAGAUUAAUUUAGAUAAAUAUUUUUUUUCAAACUUCAGAAAAAUAUAUGUGAACUAUGUCACAACUAUAGUGCUCUAUAGUAGGAUGAAAAAUUGUACCCAAGCAAUGAAUUGAUAAAAAUUAAAAGUCCACAUAUCUUAUUAUCUUUUUCUAAUUGAUAAGCUUUUUUUCCUUUUUGAUAAAUAAAAAAACAAAAAUAAACAAGGUUUCAUUUUAUAUAGUCUCUCCUAAAAUCUUAUGCUAGAAUAUUCUACAAUCUGGCUCUAUGAUGGUAAACAGUUGUAAUUUUCUCUAACACGGGAAAGGAAAGACAUAGUUUUCUCUAUCUCUCAAUAUUUAUAAGUCCCUUGGAUUUCAUUUGCCACACUAUUUGUUGUUGGAGAAAUCAAAGGCACAAAAAAAGCCAAUAAACAACAACAACAAUAACAUAUUCAGUGAAAUUCCACACAAAAAAAGACCAAUAAAUUAUAGAUAAAAUAAAGAUGAAGAAAUUUUUUGCAGACAUCAAACAAAAAUGUGUGGAUGUUAAAUUCUCAAGAGAAAACCAAUUUGGAGCAAAUAACGUGCAACUACUUACUUAUACGUGAAAGAAUUAGUAAAAAGGAGAGGAAUUGAACCAAUAAAAAUUAAAACUUACCAUACCAUAUGUACAUGAGUACCACAAAAAAAAAAAAGAACAUUAAAUUUUGUGUAUAAAUUUAUAAUCAGUACCUUCAAAUUAACAGAAUGUAGAUUUCGAAUGAUUUAGAGUAAUACACGAAAAUAAUUCAAUCAUCAAAAGAAAACUAUAAUAGAAUAGUCUAAACAAACAUCUUCAAGAAAAAUAAUAAUUUACUAUUGGAACAAGAGCAACUGCAAUCGAACCUAGAAGAUUGGAGUGAAUGAAAGCAAUAGGCGCUACUCUUAAUGUGGCUAUCCAUGUAACUAAUGUAUGUUGGAACAUUUGGUUCAAGAGAAGCAUUACCACAAAAUUUAGAGAUAUAUGGCAAUGUGAGAAAAGAGAUGCCAACAUCUUAAUACAACUAUUCACCUUCUACUGUAGUAGUCAUUGCAAUAGUUAGGAAAAAAAUAAUAUCUCAGUCAUGGUACUUGAAUAAAGCAAUAAUCAUCAUCAAAUUUCGAGGUUUCACAAUAGAUUAUUGUCUAGUGUAUAGAUUACACAUCAAGAUCAAAUGUAGAGUAAAAAUGGAAAAAUGUGUAUUUACUUAUAACUAAAAUUAUCUGUGUAAUUAUAUUAACUUGAGUUAAGGACAAAAACAUAUAUGUGCAAUUCCAAUAGUUUCAUAGAGCAUUGAAUAGUUUCUUUGUCUCUCACCUUGUUUAUAAGAGACUUUUGGGAAGAAGGUCAAAGUUAAUUAAUCUGUAAAAGCAUACUCACCUUUUUUAUUGCAUUAUAUCGGCUUUGUAACUAUUAACUUUUGUCUCAAACUCAUAGAAUACACUAAUAAAUUAGAAGUGCAGAAAAUCAACCUACACAAGAUGAUUGCUUAAACACCAAAAGUAAAUUGGGUAUUUUGAAAAUUACCUUUACAAUCCAAAAAGUAAGGCAAUUAGAAAGUGUAAAGAGAACCAAAAAGGAGGGGAAAAAAAGAACAUGAGCAAACAUAAAGUGGUAACAUGCAAAAUAAUCCAAAACUUCUCAAAUACAGACAUUUCAACCUAGAAUAAGAUUAAUAUUUACACUGAUGUCACUGAAUUUUUUUUACAUAGAGAAAUCUAUCACUUUAUUUCCUUAGUUAUUGAGAUUUAGCCAUGAAAUACAGAUAUUUUAUGAAUGUUAAACAAAAUUAAAGGGAAUAUGAUGAAGAUUAUAUAAUAAUUGCGAGAAGAACAAAGAAAUCAAUUAAGAACUUACCCGACAUUGGAAAACCCAUUAGAGUAGAUCAUGAAGAUUCAAUCAGAGAUUUGAUCUGCAGGGUAGAAUAGUCGAUCAGAAGAAGUGAAUAACACAAUUUUUUUUAUGAAGAUUAAGAAAAAAUUUAACAGAAAUAGAUGAAGAUUAAACAAAAAUUGACAGAAGAACUUAAAAACUGAUGAAGAACCUAUCUAAGAUUGAAAAUAUAUAGAAGAAUAUAUAUGAAAUCAAUAAGCAAUUUGACAUGCAGCUCAGUGAAACUUUCAUCUAUACUCUUCUAGAUUCCUUAAUGAAACCCAAGGAUUUAUGUAAAGUAGAUGAAUGAAAAACGUACAAAGAAUUUGGCAAAAUUUAAAUGAUGAACAAAUCUAAAAACUGAAGUGUAACCCGUUGUGAAGAUGAAGAGAAUCAAAAAGUUCUUGACGAUGAUGAAGAGACCAUUCUUGAUAGCAUAAAAAAAGAGUGAAAAAGACGUAUGGAUCUCUUUUGACAUAUGUUGUUGUGCCUCUGAUAUUAUUUUCCCAGUCGAG
rnacentral:lncRNA from 1 species